UCGAGCCACGCCCAACUAGUAAAGAUACAGCCCAUGAAGACAAGUCUAAUUUCAUGAUGCCUGCUCCUCUUCCACGAUGUUUCUUUGACAUAGCUAUCAAUGGAGUGGCAAGUAAGUUAUGAAUGUGUUGGUUUGGUUGUAUAAUCAAGCUGUACUAGAUCUAGUCUCAUGAAUCAACCUGCCUUGGAGAGUCAGUCGGAGCACUUUCAAUGGAAUGUUAAUUGUCAUUACGUCAGUGUCAAAACCAGAAGAAUUCAAUUACGUCCAACGCAUGCAAAAGGUCAACCGCGAACGCUUGACUAGCAGCUAUGAAUUUUUGUUUGACAAGAAUAAGAAAAAGGUUGCAGAGCACUAGUAUAGUGUAGUCAACUCAACUUACUACAGCUCCUUGACUGGCUAUGCUGUACUGUAUAAAUGUAGACUGUUGUAAAAAGUAUUUCUUCCUCUCUUGUUCAGCUGGGUGGGUUGUGUUUGAGUUAUAUAGUGAUGUGGUUCCCAAGACAACGGAGAACUUCCGGUGUUUGUGUACGGGUGAGAGGGGGGAGGGCAAGAGCACGUUCAAGCCACUACACUACAAGGGCACACCCAUCCACCGUAUAGUGAAGGGCUUCAUUGUACAGGGAGGAGACUUCAGUAUGGACAUUUUGUCAGUGAUGGAACGGGUGGGGAGUCCAUCUAUGGUGGCAUGUUCAAGGAUGAGGUGUUCCAGCACAAACACAAAAAACCAUUCCUCCUCUUAAUGGCCAACAAGGGACCAAACACCAACGGAUCUCAUUUCUUCAUGAGGCGUUCGGAGAAGUUGUGCAAUACUUUGGAGAAAAUGCUAAACUGAGUCAACCCAACUCCAUCUUCCCUGUUCUGCACAGAUUCAUCACAAACUUCAGAAAAGCAGACAGUGACAACCUUGCUAAGAUAGCCAUCAGACAAGCUCAACUGUGUGUAUUACCUUGCGUGGAUGACACUUCCUUAUCAGAGGAUGAUCAGGGUGUGGACGUACUGCCUCAGAUCUACGACGGAGCUAUUGAAGAGAUCAUUUCCGGUAUGAAGAACACUGCAUACAGACCGGCCAACUACAGACGUAACACAUUACGUAAGCAUGGCAACUCUACGUCGUCCAAUCAGGUGGCAGCACCCUCACCACAUGAUGAACUUCUCCAGUCCCUACAGAGAAGAACUAAAGCUAGAGAGGACAAUUACGGUGCCAAUAGACCAUGGCUGAAAUAAUCUGUAUAGCUAGCUAAAAUCAUUUCAUUCACCGUUAUUGUCUUCUGUACAUUUUGUGUUUCUUUGCUCAAUUCAUAUAAUUAUACAUGUAAUAAAAUGUAUUGUAUGUUCGUUGAUGACCCAUG